GACGAACGCUGGCGGCGUGCCUAAUACAUGCAAGUAGAACGCACAGUUUAUACCGUAGCUUGCUACACCAUAGACUGUGAGUUGCGAACGGGUGAGUAACGCGUAGGUAACCUGCCUGGUAGCGGGGGAUAACUAUUGGAAACGAUAGCUAAUACCGCAUAAUAUUAAUUAUUGCAUGAUAAUUAAUUGAAAGGUGCAAUUGCACCACUACCAGAUGGACCUGCGUUGUAUUAGCUAGUAGGUGAGGUAACGGCUCACCUAGGCGACGAUACAUAGCCGACCUGAGAGGGUGUUCGGCCACACUGGGACUGAGACACGGCCCAGACGCCUACGGGAGGCAGCAGUAGGGAAUCGUCGGCAAUGGACGGAAGUCUGACCGAGCAACGCCGCGUGAGUGAAGAAGGGUGUCGGAUCGUAAAGCUCUGUUGUAAGAGAAGAACGGGUGUGAGAGUGGAAAGUUCACACUGUGACGGUAUCUUAACAGAAAGGGACGGCUAACUACGUG
rnacentral:rRNA from 1 species